UAACGGCGUCUGCUCGUACACGUGGACAAUCUGCCCUGAAGUGGAGGAUAAUCCCGGGAAACUGGGGGUAAUACUCCAUAGUUCGUGAAAACUGGAAUGUUUUUCGAAUGAAAGAUCCGUCGCUUCAGGAUGAGUCUGCGGCCGAUUAGGUAGUUGUUGGGGUAACGGCCCAACAAGCCCUUCAUCGGUACGGGUUGUGGGAGCAAGAGCCCGGAGAUGGAUUCUGAGACACGAAUCCAGGCCCUACGGGGCGCAGCAGGCGCGAAAACUUUACCAUGCGGGCAACCGUGAUAAGGAAACCCCGAGUGCCAGCAUAGGCUGGCUGUCCGCCAGUGUAAAUAGCUGGUGAAGAAAGGGCCGGGCAAGACCGGUGCCAGCCGCCGCGGUAAUACCGGCGGCUCGAGUGGUGGCCACUAUUACUGGGCUUAAAGGGUCCGUAGCUUGAUAGGCAAGUCUCUUGAGAAAUCCGCCAGCUUAACUGGGGGGCGUUCAGGGGAAACUGCUUUUCUAGGGACCGGGAGAGGUGAGAGGUACUGCCGGGGUAGGAGUGAAAUCCUGUAAUCCCGGUGGGACCACCUAUGGCGAAGGC
rnacentral:rRNA from 1 species